CCUACGGGAGGCAGCAGUGAGGAAUAUUGGUCAAUGGGCGAAAGCCUGAACCAGCCAAGUCGCGUGAGGGAAUAAGGCCCUACGGGUCGUAAACCUCUUUUGCCGGGGAGCAAGUGCGGGCACGUGUCCCGGCCCGGAGAGUACCCGGAGAAAAAGCAUCGGCUAACUCCGUGCCAGCAGCCGCGGUAAUACGGAGGAUGCGAGCGUUAUCCGGAUUUAUUGGGUUUAAAGGGUGCGUAGGCGGACUAUCAAGUCAGCGGUAAAAAUUCGGGGCGCAACCCCGUCGGGCCGUUGAAACUGGGGGCCUUGAGUGGGCGAGAAGGAGGCGGAAUGCGUGGUGUAGCGGUGAAAUGCAUAGAUAUCACGCAGAACCCCGAUUGCGAAGGCAGCCUACCGGCGCCCAACUGACGCUGAGGCACGAAAGUGUGGGGAUCGAACAGGAUUAGAUACCCGUGUAGUC
rnacentral:rRNA from 1 species